UCCUGAUCCAGCCAUGCCGCGUGCAGGAAGACUGCCCUAUGGGUUGUAAACUGCUUUUAUACAGGAAGAAAAAGGUGUACGUGUACACUGUUGACGGUACUGUAAGAAUAAGGAUCGGCUAACUCCGUGCCAGCAGCCGCGGUAAUACGGAGGAUCCAAGCGUUAUCCGGAAUCAUUGGGUUUAAAGGGUCCGUAGGCGGGAUGAUAAGUCAGUGGUGAAAGUCUGCAGCUCAACUGUAGAAUUGCCAUUGAUACUGUUGUUCUUGAGUUAUUGUGAAGUGGUUAGAAUGAGUAGUGUAGCGGUGAAAUGCAUAGAUAUUACUCAGAAUACCGAUUGCGAAGGCAGAUCACUAACAAUGAACUGACGCUGAUGGACGAAAGCGUAGGUAGCGAACAGGAUUAGAUACCCUGGUAGUCUACGCCGUAAACGAUGGUUACUAGCUGUUCGGACUAAUUGUGGUCUGAGUGGCUAAGCGAAAGUGAUAAGUAACCCACCUGGGGAGUACGUCGCCAAGAAUGAA
rnacentral:rRNA from 1 species